UAGGAAUCCCUGAACCGUCUGCGGGGAGUAAAUUGGUGUUGACAACUCGAUCAUCUGAUGUGUGUCGACAAGUGGGUUGUAGAAUGAUUAAAGUAAAGCCUCUAACGGAAGAAGAGGCAUGGACGUUGUUCUUGGAGAAGGCGGGUCGUGAUAUUCUCAAUAUUCGAGGGGUGAAACCAAUUGCAAGAUCAAUUGCUAAGCGUUGUGCAGGUUUGCCCUUGGGAGUAAUUACUAUAGCUUCUUGUAUGAAGGGCAUUGAUGACAUUUCAGAAUGGAGGAAUGCACUAAAAGAAUUAAGUCUAC